UCUCCGUUGGUGAACCAGCGGAGGGAUCAUUAAUGAGGUCAAAACACUCUCCAAACCACUGUGAACCUACUAUAUUUCGUUGUUUCGGUAGGCGGCCCCUGGGGGGGUCCUAGGCCUUUAGGCGCCUACCGGGCGGCACUUCAAACAAACCUUACAAUCCUUGCUUUCAGCGUAUACCAGCCUGUCUUAAGGUCGUUCUAAUCAAUAAAAACUUUCAACAACGGAUCUCUUGGUUCUG
rnacentral:misc_RNA from 1 species